AACCUUAUGGACCUGCGGGCGUAUACCUGCGGAAGGAUCAUUACCGAGUUUACAACUCCCAAACCCCUGUGAACAUACCUAUACGUUGCCUCGGCGGAUCAGCCCGCGCCCUGUAAAACGGGACGGCCCGCCCGAGGACCCUAAACUCUGUUUUUAGUGGAACUUCUGAGUAAAACAAACAAAUAAAUCAAAACUUUCAACAACGGAUCU
rnacentral:misc_RNA from 1 species